rnacentral:rRNA from 1 species
GUCCCAAGUUCGGAUUGUAGGCUGCAACUCGCCUACAUGAAGUUGGAAUUGCUAGUAAUCAUAGGUCAGCAUACUAUGGUGAAUACGUUCCCGGGCCUUGUACACACCGCCCGUCACACCAUGAGAGUUGGGAAUACCCGAAGCCCAUGUCAAAGUGGUCGAAAGUAGGCUUGAUGAUUGGGGUGAAGUCGUAACAAGGUACC